GCACUGUGCCUCACAGGCGACGGCUUGGCCCACCUGCAGGCCACCGACCCCCAGCAGCUGCUCCGCCUCAUCCCCCACGUGCAGGUGUUCGCCCGUGUGGCCCCCAAGCAGAAGGAGUUUGUCAUCACCAGCCUGAAGGAGCUGGGCUACGUGACCCUCAUGUGUGGGGAUGGCACCAACGACGUGGGCGCCCUGAAGCACGCUGAUGUGGGUGUGGCGCUCUUGGCCAACGCCCCUGAGCGGGUUGUCGAGCGGCGACGGCGGCCCCGGGACAGCCCAACCCUGAGCAACAGUGGCAUCAGAGCGACCUCCAGGACAGCCAAGCAGCGGUCGGGGCUCCCUCCCUCCGAGGAGCAGCCAACCUCCCAGAGGG